rnacentral:rRNA from 1 species
CGUCGAACGAGAACGGGAUAUAGCUUGCUAUAUUUGUCAGCUAAGUGGCGCACGGGUGAGUAAUAUAUAGUUAAUCUGCCCUAGAGAGAGGGAUAACAGUUGGAAACGACUGCUAAUACCUUAUAUGCCUUUAAGACAUAAGUCUGCAAGGGAAACAUUUAUGGCUCUAGGAUGAGACUGUACGGUAUCAGCUAGUUGGUGAGGUAAUGGCUCACCAAGGCAAUGACACCUAACUGGUUUGAGAGGAUGAUCAGUCACACUGGAACUGAGACACGGUCCAGACUCCUACGGGAGGCAGCAGUGGGGAAUAUUGCACAAUGGACGAAAGUCUGAUGCAGCAACGCCGCGUGGAGGAUGACACAUUUCGGUGCGUAAACUCCUUUUAUAUGGGAAGAUAAUGACGGUACCAUAUGAAUAAGCACCGGCUAACUCCGUGCCAGCAGCCGCGGUAAUACGGAGGGUGCAAGCGUUACUCGGAAUCACUGGGCGUAAAGAGCGUGUAGGCGGAUAGAAAAGUCAGAAGUGAAAUCCUAUAGCUCAACUAUAGAACUGCUUUUGAAACUCUUUAUCUAGAAUAUGGGAGAGGUAGAUGGAAUUUCUGGUGUAGGGGUAAAAUCCGUAGAGAUCAGAAGGAAUACCGAUUGCGAAGGCGAUCUACUGGAACAUUAUUGACGCUGAGACGCGAAAGCGUGGGGAGCAAACAGGAUUAGAUACCCUGGUAGUCCACGCCCUAAACGAUGCACACUAGUUGUUGCAAGGCUAGACCUUGCAGUAAUGCAGUUAACACAUUAAGUGUGCCGCCUGGGGAGUACGGUCGCAAGAUUAAAACUCAAAGGAAUAGACGGGGACCCGCACAAGCGGUGGAGCAUGUGGUUUAAUUCGACGAUACGCGAAGAACCUUACCUGGACUUGACAUAGAUAGAAUAUAACAGAGAUGUAAUAGUGCUUGCUUGCAAGAACUAUCAUACAGGUGCUGCACGGCUGUCGUCAGCUC